rnacentral:tRNA from 1 species
GGCCCUAUCGUCUAGCGGUCUAGGACGUGGCCCUUUCAAGGCCAAAACUCGGGUUCGAGUCCCGAUAGGGUCA